CACCACUGCAAGAGGGGAAGUUGCUACUGUGAUGAAUUCUGCCAUGUGGUACCAGACUGCUACCCAGACCACAGUGUCCUCUGCAACCCUCCUUCUCAGAUGACCAAGAUGGUGCUGCAGAUGGUGCUGAGGAUGGAGAACCCACCAAGCCCCGCUAGGAGCCACCUAGACUGGAUGUAGAGCAUGGAUUCUGGAUGUAUACAGAUGUUCUUCAUCUUAGGAAGGGUUUACGUCCCAAUAAACACGUGGCUAAAACCUUUGAAGAGGAAUUUAUUAUAUCCUACAAACCUGGGAGGCAGAGGUUGCAGUGAGCCAAGAUUGGGCCAUCGCACUCCAGCCUGGGCAAUAAGAAUGAAACUCUGUCUCAAAAAAACAAAAGUUGGCUAGGGCUGGGCGUGGUGGCUCACACCUGUAAUCCCAGCACUUUGGGAGGCUAAAGCAGGUGGAUCACCUGAGGUCAGAAGUACGAGACCAUCCUGGCUAAUAUGGUGAAACCCCAUCUCUAC
rnacentral:lncRNA from 1 species